rnacentral:rRNA from 1 species
CAUGAAGCUGGAAUUGCUAGUAAUGGCAGGUCAGCAUACUGCCGUGAAUACGUUCCCGGGCCUUGUACACACCGCCCGUCACACCAUGAGAGUUGGGAAUACCCGAAGCCUGUGAGCUAACUUUUAGAGGCAGCAGUCGAAGGUAGAAUCAAUGAUUGGGUGAAGUCGUAACAAGGUACC